GGGAACUCGCGAUCGAUAGUUUCUCUCAUUCCAGUUUCUCCCACUUUCUCUUUCUCUUUCUAUCUAUUUCUGCUUUUAUAAUUGUAUUUUUUCCCUCCAUUUCGCUUCUCUUUUCCCCUUUCUUUAACCAUCUGUGAUUCUUUCCUUUUUCCUUGAUUUUUUCCGGUCCCUCUCCCUCUUUCUGGUCUAACUCCGUCUCGCUUUUCAUCUCUGUUGUUUAAAUUUCCUGACCGAACCUCAGAGUACAUGGGCAAGCAAGAAAAAACUACGCGCUUCGUGUUUUCCAACUGGAACGUCUGUUUUACCGACUCACGCACUGUUAAUUAAAAUUCUCAACCGGAUUGAUCCGGGCGAUGGCUCUUCACUGGAUUGUAUAUCGUGAAAAAAUCUCGCAGCGGGUACAGCACAGCGUGGAGCUCAGAGUCAAAGAGGUGCUCAAAACAUAUUUUAUCACUCGUGGAUCACUCUACUCUCGUAUGAAAUAGAUUUUUCGCCCAUGUUAGAUCUGAAUCGAGUCCUAUAAAAGCCAGCAAAGACGAAAUUUUUUCGGGUUUCCAACAUACACGCGUCGGCAAAACUGGAAACUGUGCUGCACAAAACACUUACGCCCUUUUCGCUGUUACUACGAAUCGUUAGAUCAAAACCCGGUGUAAUAAAAAAGUAGAAAUUGAUGAACACACGAGAACUUCUAUAUAGCGAAGCACAAAAAUAUGUUCGAGUCAAAAAUAACACCGGCAAAAAUGCGAGGCACGCAAAAAAUACAGAGACUCGCUUUACGAUGAGGUGAGCAAUGAUUUUUUUUUCUCUUUGCCGCGACAGAGAGAUCGAGAUACCGUGUGAUUGGUUGCCGAGUGCAAAACUCAUUGGUUUGUGUCGCCCAUUGCCAAGAGGUCUGGUGCCAAAGUUCAAAAGGCCAGGAUAUCAAGAUAUCUAUAUAGAUACAUGAACGUUGUUUUCACGUCACCUCAGAGUUUAUUGAGCCCGGAUUGUGCAGCAAAUUUUUCAUAACGUAUGAAUUAUUUCAUCUCUUCAAAAAAAUCAUUUCGCCGAAGCGCAUUACUACAGAUUUUACAAAAGGACUUGAUUAUUUUAAGAUACUAUAGAUUUCAGAAUUUCACAGAAAAACGUGGUUUUUCAGGAAUUCCAAACUCAGUGUUAGAUCUUCUCUAAAGUUAUUUGUUUCCAAAUUGCUGUAAAAUUUGACUGACGUUUCAUUACGUUUUCCCGUCAGUCAUGUUUUCAGACAUCGACCGAAGAUUUAACUUCUAAACGCUACUGUUUCGGGACCGUUGAAAUUCCGGAAGGACCAUGUUCGAAAACUCGCAUUACAUUGUAAAUUGAGGUUAUGUUGCGUGAAAACGAAUCUUUACAGUUGUUUUAUUAUCGGUUCUCUGGCUAAUAUACGAAAAGGUUAGAUAAUUCGAGGAAUGAUUUAAUAAUACAGUUCUUAUAUUCUAGUAUGAAUGCAGGAUCAGCCUGGUAUGCAACAGUGUCUUUAAAAUCGAAAAAAUAAAAAAUAGGGAGAAAUAAUACAAUUUAUUAUUUACCUCGGAUGUUCUCGAGCACGAAAGCACAAGAUUCUCUUCUUUUCCCUUUUUAGAGGUAACGACCAUUGUGCGGAAGGUUUCCAAGGUCUCUUUGAAGGGCUUAGUUUCAACUCCAGCACGUAACGUGUUCCAAUCAGCAACUUGCAGAAUGAUAACAAUAUGAGUUAUAAGAGUGACAAUUAAAUAAAAAGGAAAGCGCAUUCUAUAUUUUGUUAGAGUAAAUUUGUUUACUUACGAAGUUGUUUGAGCAGAAGAUCAGAUUGAUAAAGAUUCUUUGGAUACAAGCUUGUCCAAACGGACAAGCACCGAGAAUCUGCUGUUACACAAGCCACGAGAGAUUUGAUAAUUUCUUCUCUAUAUUUUGAGUUUACUUUUGGACUUACUUUUCCCAUGAGUGUUUCAAAAAUCUUUGGCAGAUUUAUCGAUUCGCUCUUGACCAUUUGUAACUGAAAUAAAUGCAAAUAUUUUGUACAAAA